rnacentral:rRNA from 1 species
GACGAACGCUGGCGGCGUGCUUAACACAUGCAAGUCGAACGGUGACGAGGAGCUUGCUCCUCUGAUCAGUGGCGAACGGGUGAGUAACACGUGAGCAACCUGCCCCAGACUCUGGGAUAACAGUUGGAAACAGCUGCUAAUACCGGAUACGAGACGGAGAGGCAUCUCUACCGUCUGGAAAGUUUUUCGGUCUGGGAUGGACUCGCGGCCUAUCAGCUAGUUGGUGAGGUAAUGGCUCACCAAGGCGACGACGGGUAGCCGGCCUGAGAGGGCGACCGGCCACACUGGGACUGAGACACGGCCCAGACUCCUACGGGAGGCAGCAGUGGGGAAUAUUGCACAAUGGGCGAAAACCUGAUGCAGCGACGCCGCGUGAGGGAUGACGGCCUUCGGUUGUAACCGUACUUUCUAGUCAGGGAAGAAGGACGAAACGUAGACGGUAACCGUACGUCACGAAGAAAGACGAACCGGCGUAACCUAACGUUACGGCCACGCACGCCGCGGGUAAAACGUACGAACGUACC